rnacentral:rRNA from 1 species
GACGAACGCUGGCGGCGUGGAUUAGGCAUGCAAGUCGAACGGUAUCAUCCUUUCGGGGGUGAGAGAGUGGCGAACUGGUGAGUAACACGUAGGUUAUCUACCCUCAAGACGGGGACAACCCAGGGAAACUUGGGCUAAUACCGGAUGUGAGCAACUUUUAGUUGUUUGAAAGGUGGCGUAAGCUGUCGCUUGGGGAUGAGCCUGCGUCCUAUUAGUUAGUUGGUGAGGUAACGGCUCACCUAGGCAAUGAUAGGUAGGCGGCCUUAACGGGUGGUCGCCCACACUGGGAUUGAGAUACGGCCCAGACUCCUACGGGAGGCAGCAGUCGAGAAUAGUCUACAAUGGUCGGAAGACUGAUAGUGCGACGCCGCGUGAACGAUGAAUCCCUUCGGGGUGUAAAGUUCUUUUAUAUGUGAGCAGUGCUUCUUAUAUUAACAGUAUGGGGAAGAGAUAUUAGCAUAUGAAUAAGCAACGGCUAACUCCGUGCCAGCCAGCCGCGGUAAUA